GCCAGACUGGAGGUCCACACCGUCACUUCAGCCGAGUGACCCCGGGCCAACUCUUGGGCCAGCUAUGACCUUGGUGAUGCUCCGCAGGAAGCAUCACUUCGUGUGUCAUUACUUCUAGAACUUCGGCUGAAGGGUUGCUGGCUGCCCCCAGGUUUGCGGUGCUGCCUCUGUCUACACUGUGAACCUGUGAGUGCUCCUGGCCCAGAUGGAAGUCACGAAGACCUUGCACCCAGAGCCGCUUCUCAGCUGCCAGCAGCAGUUCCAGCAAGCCAUUUCCGGUUUCCCAGCACGUGAUGUGCUGCUCUGGAGUGGAGAGCAAGAAGACCCAGAGCCUCCCGGAUCUUGACAACAUGGAGUGGGAGGUCAGCCAAGCGUGGACUCACAGCUCUGUGAGGGAGCCGGCAAGAAGCAGCCUGCGGCCUUCAGAGGCAUCUGAGCCAUAGUAGAGUGAGUUGAAGCAGGGCCUGGAGCCUUGGAGACAACAGGGCCCCUCUGCCCCCACCGGGUCCCCUUUGUUCCCCAGUGUGGAUUUUCUUUAUCCUUAGCAGCCCGGUCAGCAGUCACCCAGUGCUGCUGUCUCUAAAAUCUAUCCCUGGCUCUCACCCCUUCAGCAAUACUUUUUUGUUGUUCUUGUUAUGUCAUCACACAUUAUGAUCCAAAUAUGGGAGAUUCAAAUACAUUUGAAUUAUUUUGUGAAACAACUUUAUUUCUAGGAACCCAGGGUUUCAAUUCUAUGGAAGCUUUCAUCCUUCUGAGCUCUUCUGGACUUGAAAGCUCCUCAUUAGGUUGGCUGACCUAUGUUCCUGGCUCAUUUUUACCUCAAGGUCUCAAUAGAUCAUUUUGUUAAGGAGAUAGAACAUUCCAGAUUGGUACUCUGUAGCCUUUCAUGUCUUUGUUGAGAAGAGAUGGAUGUUGAAGGAUCAUUCAAACCUGCCUUGUCUUGUUAGUUGACUUUCUGCAGUUUCCAGAGCAGAAGACACAAGGUGGACACUGAAUUGCACUGUCCUAGAUUCUGAAGUUUCUAGUUAUGAAUCCUUGUUGUGCCAACCAG